AAUAGAUACCCAGGUAGUCCACGCCCUAAACGAUGUCUACUAGUUGUUGGUGGAGUAAAAUCCAUUAGUAACGCAGCUAACGCGUGAAGUAGACCGCCUGGGGAGUACGGUCGCAAGAUUAAAACUCAAAGGAGUUGACGGGGGCCCGCACAAGCGGUGGAUUAUGUGGAUUAAUUCGAUGCAACGCGAAAAACCUUACCUGGCCUUGACAUGCCACUAACGAGGCAGAGAUGCAUUAGGUGCCCGAAAGGGAAAGUGGACACAGGUGCUGCAUGGCUGUCGUCAGCUCGUGUCGUGAGAUGUUGGGUUAAGUCCCGCAACGAGCGCACCCUUGCCAAUAAUUGCCAUCAUUCAGUUGGGCACUUUAUUGGGACUGCCGGUGACAAACCGGAGGAAGGUGGGGACGACGUCAAGUCCUCAUGGCCCUUAUGGCCAGGGCUUCACACGUAAUACAAUGGUCGGUACAGAGGGUAGCCAAGCCGCGAGGUGGAGCCAAUCCCAGAAAGCCGAUCGUAGUCCGGAUUGCAGUCUG
rnacentral:rRNA from 1 species